UACGUAGGGUGCAAGCGUUAAUCGGAAUUACUGGGCGUAAAGCGUGCGCAGGCGGUUGUGUAAGUCAGAUGUGAAAACCCCGGGCUCAACCUGGGAACUGCAUUUGUGACUGCACAGCUGGAGUGCGGCAGAGGGGGAUGGAAUUCCGCGUGUAGCAGUGAAAUGCGUAGAUAUGCGGAGGAACACCGAUGGCGAAGGCAAUCCCCUGGGCCUGCACUGACGCUCAUGCACGAAAGCGUGGGGAGCAAACAGG
rnacentral:rRNA from 1 species